rnacentral:rRNA from 1 species
AUACGGAGGGGGCUAGCGUUGCUCGGAAUUACUGGGCGUAAAGGGCGCGUAGGCGGAUUGUCAAGUCAGAGGUGAAAGCCCUGGGCUCAACCCGGGAACUGCCUUUGAAACUAACAGUCUUGAGUCCGCGAGAGGAUGGCGGAAUUCCCAGUGUAGAGGUGAAAUUCGUAGAUAUUGGGAAGAACACCAGUGGCGAAGGCGGCCAUCUGGCUCGGUACUGACGCUGAGGCGCGAAAGCGUGGGGAGCAAACAGUAUUAGAAACCCCAGUAGUCC